rnacentral:lncRNA from 1 species
UUUUUUUAUUUUUUUAUUUGAGGUUUUAUGUUACCGCUCUACCCUUGGGUAGAGGGGGAUUAUUUGGCCGCCCGCCUUUACAAGGUGGAAAUCGCCACGUCGAGAUAUGUAACUUGUUACAGUUUUACUCCAAUUUUGUCGAUGAACUCGAUUAAAGUUUGGUACGAGCUAAUUUGUUCUUUUUCGAAGAAUUUAUAGAUAUUAUUAUAUUUC